UUCUGUCAAUAAUACACAGUGCUGCUUGUCAUUUGUGUGCUUCGAUUGUUUGCUUUACUGUUUCCUAACGUUUUAUUUUGGACUCUGAAGGAAUUUAAUUCAAAAUAAGUUAUUCUAAUUUUAGUGACUGAUGUAUUGUUAGUUAACUUUCUCUGUGCAUUUGCGUCUAUUAGUUUAGUUUAUGCGUGCAGCCGUGCGAUCAUUAUUUUGUAUUUAAAGUAAAUAAUAACGCAACAAUAAAUUAAUGUUUUUGAAUAAUAAGGACGAUAAAACCCGGGCUUUAGUGUAACUUAACAACACUCAAAUGCCAAUUGCCGCUGAAAUUUCGAUGACAAAUUCAAUCGGGGUGUGUGUGAGAGCGCGGUGGGACUAUGUUGUUUCUCAGUGCCUUAGCGAUCGGUAUGAUAGGUGGGCUGCAGAAUGUGACCACGGAGGCGCCCGCUCCCAGCAGUGACGGCAGCGCGGUGACGAGCGUGGCGGAGCGGGCGGUGCGCGAGAUGGGGCUGGUGGAGACGACCAAGUUGUCGGGCCAGUCGGGGGACCUGGUGAACGUGACGGUGCACGAGCGGCCCUCCAUGUGGGACAUGUACCUGAACCACUGCCCGAAGUGGCGGCCGGUGAACCAUGUGUUUUUCCAAGUGGCCAAUGUGUUCUUCCUGCUGUCGUUCCUGGCGCCGCACACGGCGAGCGGGCUGGUGUGGCUGCGCGUGGCGCUGAUGCUGGGCUGCGCCUUCUCCGCCAUGUGGGCGUGGAGCAUCGAGUGCUACCUGGACGCUGUGCUCUGGAACAGUGCUUUCAUUGUGAUAAACUUCAUUUACUUCUCCAUACAGUUUUAUUUGAUGCGCCCCAUCAAGUUCCACAAGGAUAUUGAGGAGGUAUACGUGGCACUGUUCAAGCCACUGCGUGUCUCCAGACGGCAGUUCCGUCGCGUGUUGAUGUGCAUGCGCAACGUGCGGCACUUAAAGUGCCACGAGUUGUACGCACACGAGAAGGUCACUAAAGUGGACAGUCUCUCCUUAGUGCUGUCUGGCAAACUAGUGGUGUCUCAGAAUCAGCGGGCGCUGCACAUAGUGUUUCCUCAUCACUUUCUCGACUCGCCUGAAUGGUUUGGCGUGUCCACAGAUGAGUUUUUUCAGGUGUCAAUAAUGGCGAUGGAGGAGUCUCGCGUGCUGGUGUGGCAUCGCGACAAGCUGAAGCUCUCCAUCAUGUCGGACGCCUUCUUGCAAGCAGUCUUCGAUCACAUACUCGGUCGAGACGUUGUUCAUAAACUCAUGCAGGUGAGCGAAACGAUGGCAGUAUCGAACGGUCACCUGCCGAACAGCUAUGAGGAGGGCGAGGACAAACCCAUGCUAGUUGUGAAGAAGGCGGGCGACGGACCCGGCAUCACCGCCUUGCUGAACCGGCAAUUACAAGGCGAGCACGCGCCGCUGCUGCGCGCGCCGCCGCCCGCGCCCUACUGAAUACUGACACUCUGACUCCGAUACACUCCCAUCGCACCACUGUCCGCUACCAAACUGCCAGACCUGCUUGUAACCCCACCUGCCCUCGAUUUUAUGCUUCAGAUUUUAUACAAAAAGUAAAGAAAUUUUCAGAUAAAAGAAAACAAAGAAUCUUUAAUGUAACUUAAAAAUAUUAAACUUGGCGUAGAUACUGCCAUUUUCGUAACAUUAUAUUUUUUACAACAGUAUUACUGUCUUAAAGCAUAAAAUAAAUCCUUUCCUAUAAACCUGAUCCCAUAUAAUCACCAUAUUCAUGCAAAGCAGUUCAGAAGUUAUUGAUGAAAUACAGACCUAAACUUAGGUCUUGUAUCAAAUUCAAACCCACCUAAGUAUAUGUAUAGAUAAAUAAAAAAAUAGUCUGCUAUGUCUGCAAAAAGCUUAAUAUUCUCAUUUAAACAUUUUUUAAAUAUUUUUCUUCAAUACUUCUUACUGUAAUCACAUCACAUUUAUCUUCAUACAUAUCUCAUAUGCAUAUCCCUAUAUUUAUUAAACUUUAUCUUAUAUUCUAUGUAAGUAUAUAUAUGGAGCUGCGUGGUGAUGGGUUUUAUUUACUUCGAUAGUAUUAUAAGGCUUUAUAUUAACUAUAUUAAGAUUUAAUACCAAUCCAUGCCGGACUACCUACUUAUCUGAAUUCGUUUAUUUGUUUCAGGCGAUUAUGAGCCGUAAUAUUAAAGUAUAUAGAGUAUAUUUUAAUAUCACAUCUAUAAAUAAGAUAAUUAUAUUUAAGUCAUUUCUAUGUCCUAUAUUCAGACCUGUCUUGUCCCUGUAAUUUUUUUAACUUGACUCUGUUUUCUGGCAUGGAAUUUUUAUCUAUAUAAGAGAAAAUAUAGCAAUAAUUAUAUCAAACUGCCUACAUAUCCUGCCUUUAUAUCAUAAAAAUAAUAUUUUAUUAUAUAUUUUAAUAACGUGUGAUAACAAUCAUGACAUUUUUAUUAAUAUCGCUUUAAUAAUAAGCUUUUCAUAGCGUAGCAUUAAAAAAGUACAUCGUUUGACGUGUUUAGAUGCAUAAUCAACCUUAUUCUUUGACUAUAAGGAUUCAUUUGUAUUGGUAGAAUAGUUUUUUAAACAAUUUAGUGCCUAGAGUGCCUAAUAAUAUAUGUAAGUAAUGUGUUUAAGUAAUACUGGCAUGUCUAGCCUCCUUUGAUUUGAGUAUUAAGUGUGUGACUAGUCUGUAAUCAGUUCAUAUUUACAUAUCUUUCAUAUAAUUAUGAGUAUGGUAUCGUAAUGUUGGUGCAUGUGAUUCGACUUUGAAUGGUCGGGAUGAGAAAACACAGAUAUCAUUUUUUCUAUGACUUUUGCUCCAAAAAGUCUUUUCGUAAGAUCUUCUUUCAAUUUCGUGAUUCGUUCGUUUUUAUUUUCCAUUGUUCCGUGAAGUCUUGUAUUGUAACUGACCGUAAAAUACUAUAAGGCAUUCAAUUAAUUUUCUCCCACCUUGUUCUAAAACAUAGCAAAAUUUAGUCUAAAAAGACUCAUACUCAAACCACAGACAAAAAUUCUAUGAUAAAAAUAAAAGAAUGUGUUUUCAAAUCCACGACCAAUAACUGUAUGCUUUAAUAAUAGUCGUUACCUUUACCCGCUAAGUAUGUAUAUGUAAGUUAUAUGUAGUUUGUAUGUAUAAGCUAUAAAUGCUAUAACACUCCCGUAGUCCCAUCCUAUGUCCGAACUCUCAAAGCAUGAUUGGAAGAUCGACAAUUCAAGCGACAGACCCAAACGCGUGGCGCCUGGGCCGAAUAGAGGAAGCCGACCACGAGACGCCCGUGUGAGGCCGGGCCUUGCACGUAGCGGUGCGCCCGCGCAUCAAACGCCCGCGCCGCUAGUGCAACAUACACCUUAACUCGUACGGCAUAAGGUUCACCAGACUGAGCCGGGCUCGUCGGACCUGGCUACCUCAAUAACGAACUCUAUGUCGAGGACUGUAGGAUACAAAGUCGAACGUUCAUAUCGUAUAUUAUUAUGUAGAUCUUAUUACAGGAAGUAAGUUGUGUGAAGUGCUGUGGCUUGAGCUGGAAGAUUGGAGUUGCGUGAGUCGAUGUUUUGGCGGUUUCCAUCGGUUCAUUAGUCGAUUAUAUUACUAUUUUCACUUACGAAUUAUAGUUUAAUAAUUCGAUUUUAGUGAUAAGAUAGAAUACAAUCUAGAUAUUCAGUCAAAGAUUUCUUGAAGUCAUUGUGUACUUGAAAAUCGACUAAAUUAUUUUUUAGUCGACUAAUUAGAAUAGCUGUAGCGAGACGACAUGAGUUCAUCAAAUCUUUACCUCAUAUAAUAAUAAUUAAUGCAUAAUAAUUUAAUCGAUAAAUCGACUAAUCGACUGUUGAACCGAUUGAAUGUCAGCCUAUUUAACUAUUUACACGUGUGAGAGCCAUCGUUACUUUGAACUUUUAUAUUGAUGUAUAACUACAAAGUACGAUGUUCCCUGACAUAGUAAACAAUGAUUUUUAAUAAGGAAUAGCUUAUAUGAUCUGAAACGAAAUAGCACAUUGAAAAAAGACUAGAAUCAUUAUUUUGUGUAUACUAUUUAUGUAGAUAGACAUAUUGUAACUAAAUAUUGAUUCGAUAUGGCGUCGUAUUGUCCCCAAUAAAAGUAUAAAACGAGAGGUUAUAUUUAAAGAAAUGUUUUGUGUAAAUACAUUAUAGAAAGAAUAUGUACGUGUAUAAAGAAUUGAGGAAAUUGUGUGUACAAAAUAUGUAUUCUAUUCGAUUCUUAGAGGCCAUGAUGUGGAAGCAAUACUUGCCUUCUAAAUGUCACAGUUUUAUUUAAUUCGAGGUAGCAUAAAAUAUUAAAUUACAUAUUACUUGACAUCGGUACUGCCGUAAAAUAACUCGUAUAAUAUGUAAGUGAUUGUAACUAUAUUUGUUCUGUCAAUAU